rnacentral:rRNA from 1 species
GAUGAACGCUGGCGGCGUGCCUAAUACAUGCAAGUCGAGCGAACAGACGAGGAGCUUGCUCCUUUGACGUUAGCGGCGGACGGGUGAGUAACACGUAGGUAACCCACCUAUAAGACUGGGAUAACUUCGGGAAACCGGAGCUAACACCGGAUAAUAUUUCGAACCGCAUGGUUCGAUAGUGAAAGAUGGCUUUGCUAUCACUUAUAGAUGGACCUGCGCCGUAUUAGCUAGUUGGUAAGGUAACGGCUUAUCAAGGCAACGAUUCGUAGGCGAAGUGAGAGAGGGAUCGGCCACACUGGAGGUGGACCGCGGUCCAGGCUCCUAAGGGAGGGAGCAGUAGGCAAUCUGCCGCAAUGGGCGAGAGCCUGACAGAACAACGCCACGUGAGUGAUGGAGGUCUUCGGAUCGUAAAGCUCUGUUAUUAGGGAAAAACAACCGUGUCAGUAACUGUGCACGUAGUGACGGUACCUAAUCAAGAAGCCACGGCUAACUACGUG